CAUUCCAAAAUUUGUGACCAAAUUAUUAACAUCUCGGUCCUUCACCUCAAUUGGCUGACGACAAGUUGGACAUUUCACUUCGGGGUUUUCGAAUAGUUUUGAUGCACAAACCGGACAAAUCACGUGCCCACAAUCUAAAAAAAUGAAUACGUGAUUCACUACGGUAUGAUUCUUCACAUAUUUCACAAGUUGGCAAGAUCAUCGUAUUAUUCAAAUUUUUUAAAGACAAGAGUGAGAAAAAAAGGAGUUUCAACUGACGGACAAUUGUGUCGAGAAGCUUCUUGCGAUCUCCUUUGGCGAUUCCAAAGAAUCCAGUGCUUUUUCGCUCGAAUUCAAUCAUUCUGAAAGACUUAAGCCAUGUAAAAUGCUUUUGUUAUUGAUGUUCUAAUCUAAUAUAUAAAACUGUGUUUUGUUUAAUAUAUAUAAAACUGCGUUUUGUUUGAAA
ensembl:ncRNA C28G1.11 ncRNA